UGACAGGUACACCUGGAUAUCUAAAAUCCACCAUAAUGAAUGGGAUGUCCUUUGUGGACAAUUGGGCCUUUGUUUGAAUGUUGCAGCUGAUUGACAAAGGUGUAUAAUGUUGCAGCUGAUUAACCUUAUCCGUCUUUGUCAUGGCUGGUGAACUAAAGAGGGAGUGUUUUAAAGUCUCUAAGGUAAUAAAGAAUCUAUCUUUCAUCCAAAAGCUAAAUCGAUGUUACAUCAGAAUUUUGCUCUAUAUUUCAUUUGAAUUCAUUAUACUACUUAUGAUAUUUGCCAAAAAAAAAAUUAUGCAAUCUUCAUAACUGCUUUGUUGGAAUGCAAUGGAAUGGGUCAAGAAAAAAAAUACUCCAGUGCAGAAGAUAGAUAAUGAGAAAAAAGAGAAAUGGAAAAGGGAGAAAGAAGUGAAGGGGGUGGUGGCCUGAGGGUCACCACCGUCACACCACCAGCACACCACCAGCAUGGUCACCAUCUCGACCGUUUCCCAUGCAAGCAAAAGAAAGAAGGGAUGGUGACUAUUAAUCUAUGAAAUCGACGGUGUUUAACAGCGGCGAGGGAUUCGAUUUGUCGUGGACUACCAAGAAUAACCGCGAUAAUUGACGAAUGAGGGUUCCGGAAGUUGUGAUGGCCGACCGACAUGAUAGUGGAGGUGAGACUUAUGCCUUUUUCUAAGGUUCAAAUGAUGGCGUGAUGGUUGAUUAGUCGUGGUGCACGCUUUCCAUAUCUGGAUCGAUUUAUAUUGAAUUUCCUCACGGAGCUUGACAGGAUUUAGUAAUUGCAUCGAAAACUGUCGCUUUUGCCGAUAGACCAUUUGGUUCAGAUUCAUGAGGUGUUAAAUGCCAUUUAAGAAAAAUAAAGUGCGUUAAUUCGAGGGAAGGCGGCUUCAAAGCAAUCCAAACCACCUCAAGUGAUGAAAAAAACUGCCAAAGUUUUGAACAACUUUGACGUGUCGACUGAGGUUAUUCCUUAACUUUUUUUGGUAGAGCUUGCAAAACCUCAAGUGAUAAUGUUUCAAAGGAUUAGCGGAUAAGUCAUAUUCAAAGAAUAAAGUUCAGGGAAGGCGGCUUCAAAGCAAUCCAAACCACCUCAAUUGAUGAUGUUUUAAAGGAUUAGCGGAUAAGUCAUAUCUCAAAGAAGAAAGUUCAGAUGAGGACUUCAGUUUUUUUUCGUUCUAAAAACAUGUUUCUUUUGUCAUUUCUGUUAAUUCAUAAUAUUAUCAUAAUGCCUUCAUCUUUUUGACACAGUGGCUCUACGUGCUUGGAUCAUAAUGGGUUCUGAUUCAGAUCUUCCAGUGAUGAAAGAAACUGCCAAAGUUUUGAACGACUUUGACAUGUCGACUAAGGUUAUUCCUUAACUCUUUUUGGUAGAGCUUGCAAAAACUGUGGGUUGGGAAACAGAUCAAAACGAGUAUGUGAAAUCUGUUGGGUCGAUCAGAUUAUGUGACAUCUGAAUAUUGAGUGACCUAUGAGAGUUGCUCAGAGUUGGUCUAAAUAUGAUGUUCUAAACCGGCACAUAAAGUUAGCUAAGAAGUACACGGGUCAAAAUAAUCAGUUUUUUUAAUUUAUUUGAGACUUCAAUAUGUAAUUAUUAAUAAACAAAAUAAUAAAUACGAUAUGUAUUUAUUUUUAUAUUUAUUUUUUAUUUAAGAUUUAUAUAACCCAAGUCACGUUUUAUGGAGAUAAUCUCUGGUUGCCUCAACACUGGCAUGUCUGGUACGUUUUUUGUUUCUCAAGAUCCAUUAGAGAUUUUGAAUUUUUAUAGUUUGUUUUCAUGAUAAACUGGUGCGUUAAACCAUUACUUUACUAUAUGCUUGUGUUUACUUUCUCAAUGGAAGUUUUGGUUUCCUUUGUAAUUAUUCCACAUUAUGAGUUAUUUUUUAUUACUUUGUCUUUUUAAGUUUGUGAAUUACUUUUUGGAGAUUGUACAUUUGUAUUAGCCUAUUAGGAUCAUUUGAAGGUCGGUCUUCAUAAUUUUUUUGUAACAUGUAUUCACGUUUUGUUUUGUGAUAUUAUUCUUUGUGAAUGGAUUUACAAAAUCGACAGUGUGAGAGAAGUUGGAGCAGAUCUUAUUUGAGAAGUUGACUUUUCGAAGUAAUUUAUGUUUGUGCGGCCCUUGACAUGGCAUAAGUAGAUUCUUCAUCAUUAAACGGGUUAAAAAAUUAAUUAUUUUUUUUUCGAGUUGUAUCUUAUCUCAAAUUUUAUACUUUAAAAAUUUGCUGAAAUUGAAAUGGUUCGCUUUCUUUACAUUUUCUUUUUGGUUUAUUUUAUGUUUACUUAGAAUGGUAGUUAUGUGCUUACUGGUGAAGGAGCAGGGAAUCUGAUCAAGGCCUUUUGAUAUGUUACCAAACACCCUUGGUAACCUGCGUCAGGUAUACACCAAUAGUGUACAAGGAAUUUAGUCAAAUGGGUCAAAAGUUGCACGAACUAUGACUAAUAUAGUUCAUUAUGGACCAAUCCAGCAUGUUUUAACCCACAAUAAGCAACACGUUUUGACAUGUUACGUAUUAAUGAACAUGCAUGGGGCCUACUUAGUUUCACCGAUGUUAACUGAUGGAGGUUGUGAAAUCCGAGUGUUAAUGUGCAUAUUUGGUGUGAUUUAUUGCCGUUUACGUGAUUAUACGUUUGGAAUAUGUGCACUACGAAAGUUUGUGAUUUUGCAGGUAAAUCGCGUAAUUCGGUGAAUUUAAAGUGCUUAAAGAUGAUGUGGAACGGCCGUGGAUGAUAAACAUAGCGAAAGGUGUUAGUCGGAAGAUGCUUCGGGUUAGAAAAUAUCUUGGAAUCGAGAUGAAACGAGAAGGAAUGAGGCAUAGGGACCAUUCAGUCAUUUAUUGAAAGUUGCCACAUAGCUAUGUAUGGAGUUCACAUGCACAACGUAAGCUACUCUGUAGAUCCGUAGGCUACGGAUUGGAAUGUCUGACAUCAACAGAAACAGCGAACUGUAGCUUACGGUUUAAAACGUAAGUUACAUGUAUGUAUGGCGGUGUAUCUUUUAUUGUUGAAGGGCAUUAAAAGAAAAGGAUUUAAAAAGAAAAACCCUAAAGUGGAUGCAUAACAGUGGGUGAUUGGAGGGAUUAUUAAUUUGAGAACUCACAACAUUAUCAUCAAUCACGUGGGUGGAGAAAAUAUUGAACUAGAGGGGUUUUUGGCGGCAUUUAUUGAAUGUUCAUUAUCAUCACAAGAUUAAAUUGGGUGAGAAGGAGAGAGGCAGGCAUCACGUGGAGCAUCAUAGGCUUUGGAGAUUUUUAAUCAACAUCAAUCAUCCAUCAUCAGCACACAUCACAUCUCGAUGAUCAUUAAAAAGGCAUCACAUAAGUUGACAAUUGAGAAAAGGCAUCAUGUGCACAAGGCAUCAGUUUUUAAUAAAAAUCAUCCACUAACUUGAGACAUUGGACUACGUGUGACGGCAAGGAGAAGCCCAAGAAACACUUGGGCCGCACAUGGGACUUCUUUUGUAUGCAUGGAGCCGUCCAAGACAUCACGUCACGUGGACUUCUAUUUGGGCCACGUAAGUGGGCCGACAUAUUGGAGUGUUUUUGGGCUGCGAACAUGAAUAUUGAGGAGAGGUACAAAAGUCAAAAGAGAGGAUAAUCUCGGGGAUCUUCGACGGCAGACGGCAG